rnacentral:rRNA from 1 species
GGACAGUGGCGGACGGGCGAGUAACGCGUGAGUAACCUGCCCAUAGUGAGGGAUAGCCCAUGGAAACGUGGAGUAAUACCUCAUAUUGUAUACUGAUCACAUGAUCUAUAUAUGAAAGAUUUAUCGCUUAUGGAUGGACUCGCGUCUGAUUAGAUAGUUGGUGAGGUAACGGCUCACCAAGUCGACGAUUAGUAGCCGAACUGAGAGGUUGAUCGGCCGCAUUGGGACUGAGACACGGCCCAGACUCCUACGGGAGGCAGCAGUAGGGAAUAUUGCACAAUGGAGGAAACUCUGAUGCAGCCAUGCCGCGUGUGUGAAGAAGGCCUUCGGGUUGUAAAGCACUUUCGGAGGGGAGGAAAAGAUGACGUUACCCUCAGAAGAAGCACCGGCUAACUCCGUG